rnacentral:sRNA from 1 species
UUGCGUUAGGGAUUGUAGCGAUAUCCUUUUUAAACUGAUAUUCUAUGAACUUUAUGUAAGUUUGAAAUUUACAGAUUGCCACGUCGCUCGCUCCUCGCAAUGACGUUUAAAAAGAUUUAGCGAAAAGCCCGACCCUUG